UUUUCUUUGAUCCUUUGUUAUGCGUGCAAGGACCGGGUAUUUUAAUGAUGCGUUCCCAAAAAGGCAAAACAAUACAUGGCGUAAGGACACAUUCUAUUUUUUUACCAAAUAAACUGAUAGAAAUUCAGAAUGUCUAUUUUAAGCUAAAUCAAUGUUGAUGUAAAUGUCCAGUAUUUCCAGAGCUUUGUUGUCAAUUUUAUAACUUAUUUCAUGUAUAAUUUACAUAAUGUUACAUUUAUAGUCAUGCUACAGCAAUGUAUCACUAGGAGAACAAAGUCUUGGCUGUGUUGACAAUAAGAGAUGUGAUUCACAUGCUGCCGUUUCUACAAUAGUUGGUCGAAGUGUUGUUGCUAGGAAAGCAUCAACGUGUUUCGAAUGCUGUUCCACUGAUCAUUGCAAUACCGCCCUAUGUCACAAUACCGACACUAAGGUGUGUAUGGAUGAUGAAUCUGUGGAUUGUGCAAGAAUGAACUCUGUAUUCAGUAUAUGUAGUGAUAUUCCGCACGCACGAAAUGUAUGCCCAAGCUUUUGUGAACUUUGUGAUGUUG